AAGGUACUCCCUCGGUUCGGAAUUACUUGUCUUGAAAAUGGAUGUAUCUAGAACUAAAAUACAUCUAGAUACAUCCAUUUCUACGACAACUAAUUCCGAACGGAGGGAGUAGAAU
rnacentral:pre_miRNA from 1 species